rnacentral:rRNA from 1 species
UACGUAGGGACCAAGCGUUGUUCGGAAUUAUUGGGCGUAAAGAGCUCGUAGGCGGUUUGUCGCGUCUGCUGUGAAAACUCGGGGCUUAACUCCGGGCCUGCAGUGGGUACGGGCAGACUAGAGUGCGGUAGGGGAGACUGGAAUUCCUGGUGUAGCGGUGAAAUGCGCAGAUAUCAGGAGGAACACCGGUGGCGAAGGCGGGUCUCUGGGCCGUAACUGACGCUGAGGAGCGAAAGCGUGGGGAGCGAACAGG